ensembl:lncRNA
GAGGUCUCUGAAUAUCAUCCCUUACCACUUGGGCCGCUCACUAUCAGCCUGUCGAAAUGGAUAUGGAAAUCAUGGAGCAGAAGUAUUGAUGAUCAUGGACUUGUUAAGUCUGAUAUCGAAUCAACUGGAAUGAAAUGUGGGCCUGAAACAGAGGAUGGCUGUGUUUUAAGGAAGGUGAGGAUUACAGAAGUGGAGGAGAAAGAAGAUUGAAAAAGUGCUUGAAAAAAUAAUGGUGAGACACUUCAAUUUUAGUGAGAAACUUCAGAUACAUACACCUACAUAUUCAAGAAGUCAAGCAAAGCCCAGGGAAAACCAAAGCUAACAGAGGAGACAAAAACAGGGCACUGCAGAAAAAUUUAGCCUCUGACACCUGCAGCUACGGCAAGGAGUAAACACACAGUCCCACUUCCUGGCCAGGUAAAUGUAAAAC